AUGGCGGUGGACGCGGUUCGCGACGCGGCGGCGAUGCCAUCGCCGGCGGUGAGCGAGGAGGAGGAGGGGCAGCUGCGGUGCGACGAGGGGUGGGGCAAGCGGAGGCGCCCGAGGCGGCAGCGGCAGCGCGCGCCCAGCGAGGAGGAGCACCUCGCGCUCAGCCUCCUCAUGCUGGCGCGCGGUCACCGCGACCGGCACCUGCUUGGCUCGUCCGAGCCGGCGCAGGAGCACCGCUGCUCCGUGUGCGGCAAGGCCUUCUCGUCCUACCAGGCCCUGGGCGGGCACAAGGCGAGCCACCGUCCGAAGCCGGCGCCCGCCGGCGCGGACGAGCCCGCUGCCACGACGGCAGCCUCGCCCGCCGCGUCCUCGUCAACGACGUCCAGCGGCGCGGGUGCGGGCGCGGGCGGAGGUGGCAAGGUGCACGAGUGCUCCGUGUGCAAGAAGACCUUCCCGACUGGGCAGGCGCUGGGCGGGCACAAGCGGUGCCACUACGAGGGCCCCAUCGGCGCCUCCGCGGUCGCGAGCCGAGGGUUCGACCUGAACCUGCCGGCGAUGCCGGACAUCGUCACCGAGCGCGAGCGGUGCAUGCCGGCGCCGGCCGACGAGGAGGAGGUGCUCAGCCCGCUGGCGUUCAAGAAGCCGAGGCUAAUGAUCCCGGCAUAG
rnacentral:rRNA from 1 species